UCUGCGGUAACCACGGAGGAUAGAUACCAGGAGUCCGAACGAUAUAGGAUUUUCCCCAUUUUUUGUGGUAGUCAUUUCUUGACCCAGAUCAUAGUUCUCUUUUUUGCCACUGGCUGCGCAAGUAUUCAGAGUGCACCGAUACUAUUAUUAUUAUUACACGUAAAUUAAAUAUAAAAUAUUAAUUUAUUUUUUUAGAAUAAUUUUUAUUAAAAAAUGGGAAAGUGUUGUGCUGUUUAUAGUUGCCUUACUGACCGAAAGGUAGGGGAGAAUUUAGGAAAAGUGGCUUUAUUCAAAGCACCAAAAAUUAUCUCUUAAACUUCUCGAUAUUGCUGAGUUGAAAACAUUUGAGGUUUCUAAAAAUUUUCUUAAACUUUUAUUUAAUUCCACGUUUCUCAAAAUAUUUUUUUUCAGAACUGUCAA